rnacentral:rRNA from 1 species
GAACUGAAGAGUUUGAUCAUGGCUCAGAUUGAACGCUGGCGGCAGGCCUAACACAUGCAAGUCGAGCGGAUGAAGGGUGCUUGCACCCCGAUUCAGCGGCGGACGGGUGAGUAAUGCCUAGGAAUCUGCCCGAUAGUGGGGGACAACGUUUCGAAAGGAACGCUAAUACCGCAUACGUCCUACGGGAGAAAGUGGGGGCUC